AAUGAACGUUGGCGGCGUGGAUUAGGCAUGCAAGUCGAGCGCGAACCCGCAAGGGGGAGAGCGGCGAACGGCGUAGUAAUGGAUCGGAACGUACCCUUCGGCCGGGGAUAGCUACGGGAAACUGUAGGUAAUACCCGAUAACAUCUGCGGAUCAAAGGUGAGAUUCCGCCGGGGGAGCGGCUGAUUUGAUAUUAGCUAGUUGGUGGGGUAAUGGCUUACCAAGGCGAUGAUGUCUAGGGGGUGUGAGAGCAUGGCCCCCACGACCGGAACUGAGAUACUGUCCGGACACCUACGGGUGGCUGCAGUCGAGAAUCUUCCGCAAUGGACGAAAGUCUGACGGAGCGACGCCGCGUGCGGGAUGAAGGCCCUUGGGUUGUAAACCGCUGUCAGAGGGGAUGAAAUCUUCGGAGGUCCUCCUCCGAAGUUGACAGAGCCUCAAAGGAAGCACGGGCUAAGUACGUG
rnacentral:rRNA from 1 species